UGAUUAUUUUCCUUGUGGAUUAAUGUGUGGAUUAUCUUCUAGAUGAAUGGAUGAGUUGUUCUGUCUCUAAAAUGUGGAUACAUUUUCCCAAAAAGCCCAAGAUGACAUCCUCAAAUAAAUUCAGUUUCCUUUCCCAGAGGAGAGAAGAAAAAUAGAAAAUAUUCAUAUUUAACAAACUGACAUCACACAAGUUUACCUGUUUUUACAUUAAAAAAUGACUCAAACUGA